ACCGUGGUGGCAAUUUAGGGAUUUCACCCCUGCUUUAACUCAUUGUCGUUCUUGAACAUCAAUCGCCAUGGUUCAAUGCAACCUUUCGGUACUCGUCAGUUCCCAUCUCCUCUAUAACCUAAUGUUCGAUUCUUAAAGCUUCCAUCAAUGGCGAUGAAUCUCAUCUCCCCUCUGGCUUGUUUUUCGUUUCUUACCUCAAUCAACCAGAUCUUGUGAGAUGGAUAGAUUGUUCAAAAAUCUAGGGUUCAAUGUCAGAACUGCAAGGUGAAAACGAAGAUUACAGUUGAUUUGAGAUCCUCCCACCUAGAUUCAGAAAUAGAUUUGAUUACAAGACCCUAAAAUCGUUCAAGGUAUUUGAAUUCUGAUUCUUUUGUGUCUCUUGUGUUUCCCUUUUUUCAUAUGUCCAAAUAGCGCAUGAUCUUGUACCCGCCAUUAGACGCAUUAAAGACACCUUCGCAACAUUUGGUUUGUUUUUUCUUGCCACCUGUCAAAGGUAACCGUGUCAAAGGUAAGCAAGCGUAUCCUCUUGUUGUUUAUUUGAUUUUGAUUGACUGCAUAUUGGCCCUCAAACAACUCAUUUGUAUAAUGUUAAUAAUUUCUAUAUUAGGGGCAUAAUUAUUGUAUGAAACCAUACUUAACAACUGGUUUCUAAUUCAUGAAACCAGUUGUCAUGACAACUGGUUUUAGCCCAGUUAACUCUUGGACAGAGCUAAGUUCUCACAGUGCCUACGCCAAGCCUGCCUUGCGUCUAUUUAAGGUGCCUACCUUGCACCUGUUUUGUUUAUACUUUAUAAACGACAACAUUUUUUACUUCGAAUGUACAUAACCAGAUGCUCAGGUAAUUAAGCUAAAUCAGUAUGACCUCUGGGCUAUUUUCAUUUGCUUAUUUAUAUAUUUAUUUAUUGUUAUUUUAAAUUGAACUGUUUGGGGCCUUGGGCAAAUGGUUUUCAAAGGGUACUGGAGGAAGCCGGUUCACUGGAUUCUUUCAUCCCGCUCUGGUCUUGCAGAGACUGAGUUGGAGGUAAGUAAAUCAACAGCUUCUUGUUAUUGCCGUUAUGAAGGUUUAUGUAACAAAUGUUUAUGAGAUCUAUACUUGAUAACAAAAUGGUUGGAAUUAAUUGCAAACAAGGAUUACAGUGCCCACAAUUUGAGAACUAGGUGGUCUUCCACAGUUUAAGAACCCGAAAACAUGCAUACAAAAUGAUUACUAACCUUAAUGUCCUAUUUAUAAUAGAGCUAAUAUGAUGCUUGUAGGAGAAGCUAACUUGUUUCAUAAGUUACUUUGCUCUCCAAUAAUUACUUCUAAAUAAUUGCCAACAAAUAUUAGGUUAUGAGAAUGGCUAGAAAGCAUCAGUUCUAACAGACUCCAACAUGUUUGUUUGUUAUUAGUUAGUUAGUUUGGUUUAUCAUUAGUUUAUACAUUAAUUAAAAGAACUCAAGUAUUGAAAGGAAAGGAGUCAAAGUCUUGCACUUUGCAAGAAAAGAUGAGUUUCAUGUAGAGACAAUAUUUAUAACACACAUAUGUCAAUUGUCAACUUGGUGGACAAACUGAAAGGAAAGGCGUCAAAGUCUUGCACUUUGCCAUGUGAGAAAACUGUCUACAUGGUGGACAAACUGACUACUGAUAACACACACUCAAGGUUUCUUAUAUCUGCCCAUAAGGUGUUUAACGUAAUGCCUCAAUGACUAUGAGUUCAUGAUACUAACUGAUUGUUUAAAUUUUUGGUGAUUUUGUAGCUCAGUAACUACAACCCCUUGUGAAAGACUGAUUCUAUCUCUCACAGAGUACCACUUCAGCAAUUUAGACACUUAUGUCUGUCUUUACAGAAUGAAAUGAUUGCUGGAUUGGAAAGAGCAGCGAUUCUGGCUAGCCGAACCCAAACCACAAACGUUCAGUGUGAAUGUGGUCGUCCCCGGACCAACACAGCAUUUCUCUUAACACUCUUGACCAACCAACAAAAGAAAAUUUUCAAAAGCGGCAUCAGAUGAUGGAACGUACAUUGCAUGAUUUUGUCACAUCUUGUUGGUGAUGUUGGCCAAUUUGCUCAUGAGUGUCUGAUGGUCGCCGCAGCAGGAGCUGUAGCCAUAGCCCAAGUGCCGACGGAGCCCUAGCUAUGGUUGGAGGAAGCAGGAACUACAAUCCUUGUGGCCAAUCAUGUCCACACCACCCCCUUGCAAGACUAAAUAAAACAGGUCACAAGAUGAGUUGCCAUAUAUAAAUGGGCGUGUGUUUAUUUUUGUUUCGUUUUGAAAUUAUAUGUAGUUCAAAUGUGUUAAUUUACGAUGCAUAUACCGCCUAUUAUUGUUGGUAUAUGUAGGUGUAAUUGAGAUUAUGGAAAAUCUAGGAGUUAGGAAUUUACGUCGUUAUGUGUGUAUUGUCGACUCUGCGGCAACGCGCGUUACAUGGAUGGUUAUAAAGUUAGAACAUCAAAGGCUAUCUCUUAUGGUUUAACGACUCCUGCCAUCUCAACACGAAAGGACGUGGAACACCACCCCCAUGGGGCGUAGGCAUGAGUGUGGUCAUGUGCUUGAGGCGGAUAUGCGUGUGGAGUUAAUUUUUGAGCCAUUUAAAACACACUAUGUGGUAUGAGGCGUUAAUGCAUAACACAUGCUCUUGUUUGAUCUGUGAAAGGCUUAUCGUAGGCUACUAAAGAGAAAAGUGCCUCCAUUUCAGAAAUAUAAACCACCCGAUAGCGUCACAACUUGUAUAUGAUUAUUUUUAAUCGUUUUAAAGGUUGAAUUAUGAUCCUUUCUCAUAUUGUAGA